CCUUCGAUAGCUCAGUUGGUAGAGCGGUGGACUGUAGUAUACUAGCGUAAGCUGCGAGAUCCAUAGGUCACUGGUUCAAAUCCGGUUCGAAGGA
rnacentral:tRNA from 1 species